rnacentral:rRNA from 1 species
UACGGGGGGGGCAAGCGUUGUUCGGAAUUACUGGGCGUAAAGGGCUCGUAGGCGGCCAACUAAGUCAGACGUGAAAUCCCCAGGCUUAACCUGGGAACUGCGUCGGAUACUGGAUGGCUUGAAUCCGGGAGAGGGAUGCGGAAUUCCAGGUGUAGCGGUGAAAUGCGUAGAUAUCUGGAGGAACACCGGUGGCGAAGGCGGCAUCCUGGACCGGCAUUGACGCUGAUGAGCGAAAGCCAGGGGAGCAAACGGG